rnacentral:tRNA from 4 species
GCGGGUUUAGCUCAGUUGGGAGAGCGUCAGACUGAAGUCAAACUUCAAUUAAUUGAUAUCUGAAGGUCGUGUGUUCGAUCCACACAAACCGCA